AUUGACAUCCGUCCUCCCCCCUCCUCCUGAGAAGUCAACACUAACUGGCAUUGGGAUUUUAUAAUGCUGCUCCUUCCUUGUUUCAUUACUACAGUUUCAUCACUACGAUGUUUGACACGGCCUCCAUACCUGUGGGUUCCGCACCUGCAGAUUCAACAAACCGCGGAUAGAAAAUAUUCUUCAGUUAACUUUUUAGUUGAAGCACAUUCUAUUGCUGACUCAGGACUCAUGAGCCCUGUGUUCUCUACAAAUCUCUAUCUUUCUAGUCUAUUUCUUUCCAAAGCAUAGCUUGGAAUUUAUCCUUGGGAUCUUUCAUUUUGUUAACGAGGUGAUGGUGAUGAUAAUGAUGAGGAUGGUGAUGAUAACACACACCUUCUUUUGAGUAUCUACCAUGAUGAUGGUGAUGAUGAUACGCACCUUCUUUUGAGCAUCUACCGUGUAACCAUAACAGUGCUGGGAACUUUACACACAGUGUCAAACUAAUCCACAGAGAAGUCAUGUUAAUGAGAAUUUCAUACUCAUGUGGCAAAAGGGGAAGCUGAGGUGUGGAUGAGUUAAGUCCUCAUCUGCAAUUGAGAAGCAGAGUUGGAUUUGUGCCCAGGACCUUCUGUUUCACAGCCCACCUCCUCCCAGGCUCUUGACUUUUCUUGCUUUUCUCAAGCUGCUCCAGGUCAUAGAAUAAAAUAAGAGGAACCUAGUUUUCCAUCUGGUCUGAAGCCCUUGGGAAGUGGGCUGAGUCAGGUUCUCCAGUGGAUCACAAUGACUUUGGAACUAUCAAUAACUUUGAAAACUUGAUGCUUUACGAGGACACUGUACAUAGUCCAGCUAUCUGGUUUCUUCCUUGCACUAGAUCCUCCCCUGAGCAUUCUUGCCUCUACACAUUCUGCGCAUUCUUUGUCCUCCCCUUACAGUCCAAUCUGUCUUCCUUGCAAAGACAAGCUGAAUCCAGUUCCCUCUGUAAAGCUGUCUCCUUCUACUUUAACCAAUUCUCAUCUCCUUUCUCAUGACUCUGAUAAUGUCCUUAUCAUACACGAUCAGAUGACUAAUAUGGUUUUGUGUGCCCAUCUUGCCUCCUGAGGAGACGAAAUGCUACUUCAGAUCUUAGCCUUCACUAACAAGUCUUCAGUAGAUCCCUCACUCUCCCCCCGCCAAUCCAGCUUUUAGUUCAAGUUUAGACAUAGAAUUAUACUUUGACAUACUUAUUGGAAAUAACUGGUCAAAUAGUAGAAUUCAAACCCAUACUCUCUCCUCUGUACCAAAGUAGACCAAAGACAGGAAUUUAAAUACACAAAGAUACAAAGAUAAUGUGGGUUUGGAGAGGAGCUAUACUAGAGUGAAUCUUAGAGAAAGUAGUUUUGGGGACUCAGGAGAAGAUAGUUUGAUGGUUAGUGUUGAGGAUGAUCUGUGAUGUUUGACAUGGCCACUUAGCAGGCAGUUGGGGGCAGAUACCUGGGGCAGGUACAUGCUAUUGUGUCUUUAUUGGGAACCUCUGUUUUCUUGCUAAAAUAAUUGGACAUAUAUAUUGUGUUCCUCCAAACACAGUUUGGGGGAUGUUGGUUUAAAGUCGCGUAACCCGAUUGCUUCUUUUUUUUUAUAAAAUUUUUUUUUAUUGAAGUGCAAUUGAUUUACAGUUCUGUGCCAAUCUCUGUUGUACAACGAAGUAACUCAGUUAUACACUCCAACCUGAUUGUUUUGAAGCAUGAAUUUAGUACUGGAGCUAUACUCCUCUAAAGUAGAAGCCUUUCCUGUUUUGGUUAAUUUGAUAUUUAUGGAGGAAGCUCAUUAACUCUUUGAGGACUUAAGGAGAUAUUCUAUUUGGGUUGGGCAUGGACAGAUGCCACCAAAACCUCAGUGGCUUAACACAGUAAGAGUUUAUUAUUAUUCCACAUGGCUUUGUGGAAGGGCAGUGGGGCUCUGCUCCAAACAGGCAUUCCACACCCUCAGUAGUGGUCUUAAAAAGUCCCCUCCCCACCGACUCCAGCCAUGCACACACGUUCUUUGACACUCCUCUGAUGGAGAGAUGGUAUCUGUGUCUGCUCUCCUUGAACCUGGGCCAGCUUAUUGAUACUUCAGCUAAUAGCACAUACCUGAUGUAAUAUGUGUGCCUUCCAAGCUGGCUUCAAAAGACCAUGUAGCUUCUCCCUUCUUUGCUGGAGCCCUGGGCCACCAUGUAUGAAAUCUGACUGCCUUGAUGUUGCCGUUUGUGAGCAAGUCCACACCACUUAGAGAGUCUACAGUGGGCACUCAAGGUGGCAGUCUUAGCCUUUGAAUCAUCUUCCCCAGCACCAGAUAUGUGAAUGAACAAGCCUUCGGAUGAUUCUAGACAUUAGCCAUUGACUUCCCAGCCUCAGAUAUAAUGGAGCAUUGACAAGUCAUCCUCUUUUUACCCUGUUCAAAUUCUUGACCCACAGCAUCCAUGAAUGUAAGUCAAUGCUUUUUUUAAGCUGCUCAGCUCUUCUGCAGCAUGGUAACUAGAAUACCACCUAUGACACCAUCACAAGGGGCUCAGGACUUACCUUCAUAGUGUAAGAGAUGACAGGAGAGCUGAGCAACAGCAGUGACAUGUUUUAGCCUGGAAGUGAGAUGCCUCAUAUUUCAUUAGCCAUGAUUAAUGACAUGGCCAAACUUAAUUCCAAGGGUAUGGAGAAGUGUAAUGAAGACGUCACUAGAAAUAGACAAGAACUAGAAAUUGGUGAACAUCAGUAACAUCCACCUCCAUAGCUGAUAACCUCAUGCCUCCUGCUAUGGACUGAUUGUGUGCCCCCCACAUUCAUAUGUUGAAGCCCUAACCUCCAACGUGAUGGUUUUCAGAGGUGGGGCCUUUGGGAGGUCAUUAGGUUUAGAUGAGGUCAUGAGGACGGGGCCUUUAUGGUAGGAUUAGUGACCUUAUUAAAAGAGACUCUAAAGAACUUGCUUUCUCCCUUUCUCCUUCUCUCCCUCUCUCUCUCCCUGCCCUGUGAGGACACAGCAGGAAGGCAGCUGUCUACAAUCCAGGAAGAGAGCUCCCACCAGAAACUGACCAUGCUGGCUCCUUGAUCUUGGACUUCUAGACUCGAGAGCUACGACUGAGAUGCUGAGUGCCAUUUUUAAAGGAGGAACUCUUCGCUUACAACAGCAUUUUAUUUUGACGACCAGGUGAAUCCUGGGGAGGUCUGUCUGGAGCAUCACACGGUGCACACAAGCCGACGUUCUCUCCCCGCUCUGCCUACCAGAGCUCUGUUACCAAAAUCAACGAUUAAUGGUUGAAAGAGUCUGAAAAAUGGCUAUCCCUUUGACCUUUCUAAGGCCAGAAAUGUGGAAAACACCUUCUCACCAUCUUCCAUUAAGAGAAAAGAGAAUUUGUGUUACUGCUUGAAAAAUCAACUGCUUAAUCUUCGAAUGAAAUGCCAGUCAGUAAAAUUAAUGGAGAGUGGGACAGUUUCACUAGAAACACCCCACGGAUGAGAUGAAUGUUCCAGAUAAACCACAUGCAAAGUCCUGGUGGUAAAAGAAGUACAGCAUUUGGGGAAAGCAAAUCUAUCAUAUAAAUCUAAACACAGCACCAGAGUGGGUAUUUUGAGAUAUUUUUAAUAAUUAGGAAAGAAUAACGACAAAAAUCAUGGUCUUUGCCUGAAAAGAAUUUGUUGUCAGCUUACAUUGAGACAUGGCUUAUAUACAUUCGCAUUUCAAGAGGGCACAUAUGAGACUGUAUGUAUGUAUGUCAAGUGCUUUGCAGUGGAUUUCAGAUUGCGUACAAAAGUGCCAAAGGAAAUGCCAAAUAAGGGGGAAAUGAGUUAAUAUUUUUAGGUUGUUUAGAAUAUGAUCACCUAUGUUUUAUGCAUGUUUAGGUCAAAUAUAUCCUUUGUAAAAUAUAAGCAAUGUCUGCCUCUCCUAAGAAAAUUUGAUUUAAACUUGUACCCAGAAGCCUGUAUGUGCAUGCCACUCCUUGGUGUGUUUUCUUUUGGCCAGUGGGCACCUGGAUCUCUUUUUAUUUGUUCAAAACAUUUUUUCUUCCUCUCUGAAACACUAAGCUAAUAGUUUAGUAAUGUAAUAAAACUCAAAACAAUUUUCACCUGCAUCUUUGGCAUAAAUCAAUUAAAUUAGGCACAAAUAUUGGUGUUUUAGAGAUGAAAAAGAAUUACCCAGUAGUGCUGAUAUGGGGGUACUGGUAAUCUAAUGAAUAACAUACAUUUCCUUUCAGCUUACUAGCUGAAAGGAAAUGAUUUAUUUUACAGAAAUAAGUUAGCCUCAGUGUCCUGAGCAUUGAAUCUCAUGUCUGGAUCUUACAUCUAGAAUUAAAAUAGAAAGUUUAACAUUUUUUUAACUUAUAAAUUUCUUUUUUAUAAUCAUAGAAAGCUAAGCAUCACAGCCUCUAAAGUAUGGAAAGGUGCAAGAGUAUUUCUGAACUUUUCUUACCUUACAAAGAUCGUCAGGACGGUGUCCCCCUUGCUGUUUUCUUUUUUUGUUUUUUGUUUUUUUGGGUUUUUUUGGGAAGAGCCUUGUGUUGUCAGAGAUAAGCAAAGCAAAGUUGUUGAUUAGAGUAUGGAGAAGUUCUCUUUGGGAAGUACACUCUGUUUUGUAAGUAAGGCUGGUCAGACAGAAAUUAGAAGGAAGGCAAGUCAUUUCUUCUCUUUUUGACUCUGCAUCAUUGGUCUGUGUCCUGGGUGCCAUCAUUAGUGGCCUUCCUUGGCCCUCAAAGUGCUGAGGGAUAAUAACAAUGAACAUGGAAUAAAUAAUCAUUCAAAGAUGAAAGCAAAUAAAAACAAUUUAAUACAAAUGCUAGAUGAAUUUACUGUUCAGAGAUCCUCACUAAAAUAACUCUUAAUGAAUGUACUUGGGGAAAAGAAAAUUGAACCCAAUAGGAAGGUGUGGACUCCUAGAGAGGCCUGUAGAUGGGGCUGGAAGAGGUAUAGAAAGAUCUUUAAGGGACGUCCCAUCUGGCAUUUCAUCUUGAUCUUUAUAACAAUGGCUAUUGGGAGCAUUUAAGCAUGGAGAGACAGCUCCACUACCUGCUGAAUAGUGGUUGGAAGACAGCAAGAUAGGAAGCAAAAAGAUGGGUUAAGAGGGUGUAGAGGAUUUUCAUACAGGAAGUGAUGAGGACAUCCACCACGUAGUGGAAAUGGGUUUUAGCACUGUGGAAACAGAAAAGAAGGACCUACAAGUAUGUCAGGGUGACUGGAUAUGAGCCAUGAAGCUGUGAUAGUAGUUAAGGAUGACUCAAGUCUUCCCCUUAAGUUGUUGGUGGUGCCAUUGGCUGGGGGAAAGAAGGGUUUGUAGGAAGCAGUUUGGGUUUGAAUACUGAGAGGCUUACAAGGCAUCUAAGUGGAGAUGGGCCUCUUCAAACCCCAAUAUUGUGGUGUUAUUACAUGUUUUAGAAUUUUUUCAAUCUGAUGGUUUUAUGAUAUUCUGUCUCUCUCUUCCUCCCCCAACCAUUAAAUUGUAUUCCUCUGAUUGCUAGUGAAGCCCAGAACUUUUCAUUGGUUUAUUAAUCAUUCUGGUUUACUUUUCUGUCAGCUGCCUGUGAGCUGUCUUUAGCAGACGUAAUAGUUUGCUUACCCAACCAACAUUUCCCUCCUUUCUUUCUUAUUAAAAGUGUCCUGAUUUGGUUGAGGUGUGAGGUGGCAAUGUCCCAAGAAAUGACGGCAGGUCUUCCCUAAGCUCCUACAGAUAAGCAAUGAUUGGUCAUCUGUCCCAUUUCUGGCCAAUAGGACCUACAGGAAAAUCUCCUUUGCAGGUAUUUGUGCUGUCUUUUCCAGUAUUUGGCUUAUAGAUUUCACUCUGUUUAUGGUGUCAUACAAAGGUUUUUAAUUUUAAUGUAGCAAAAAAUGUAUCAUUCCUUCUUUCCUUGUCAUCUUUUGUCUUGGUUUAGAAGUGAUUCUCUAUCCUGAGGUUCUAAAACUAUUCUCUAUUUUUUCUUCCAUAAAUGUUAAGUUAAAAAAAUCUUUAGAUUUUAAAUACAUCUGGAAUUUAUUUUUGAAUCUGGCAUGAGGCAAAGAUGUUUUUACGAAUGUGUAGUCAGUCAGCCCAGAACAUUUUUUGAAUAGUUCAUUCUUUCUUUCUGGUUUAUAUUAGCACCUCUCUCAUAUAUGAAGUGCACAUGGAUAUGUUGGUCUGUUGUAAAUUUCCCUAAUCUGUUCAUUUGGUCUAUUUUUCUACCACUAUUUCUUUUCUCUAAUAAGUUGUAAGCUCUCUUGAACUUUUUUUUACGUAAAUAAUUCUUUAGUCUACAAAUAAUGACAAUUUUAUUUCUUCAUUUCCAAUGCUUAUAUCGAUUAUUUCUUUUUCGUGCCUUAUUGUGCUGGCUAGGAUUGCUGGUACAAUUUUAAAUAAAAGCAGUGAGAGUAGGCAUUGUUUCUUGUUCCUGACUUGUUUUGGUUCUUUUAAGGGAAUGUUAUUAAUUCUUCACCAUUGUGUAUGAUUUAUGUUGAUUCCAUUGAUCAAGUUAAAGGGGUUCCUUCCAUCCUUAACUUGUUUAGGGUAUUUGUUUUGUUAUCCAGAAAGGUAUUGAAUUUUACUUUUGUGUUUUUCUGAAUAUUUUGAUAAUCAUAUAGCUUUUCUCCUGUAAUAUGUUGUGAAUUAUAUUUGUAGAUUUUCUAAUGUUAAUCUAAUCUGUAGUCCUGUGAUAAGCCAUACAUGGCCAUGAUGUAAUUAUUUAAUAGCCUGCUGGAUUUAGGUUACCAAUGUUUUAUUUAGAAUUCUUGCAUUAAUGAUCAUAAGAUGGAUUGACCUAUAGCACUUUUUUCUUUUAAUGUCCUUGUCCAGUUUUGGUGCCUAGGUUAUACCAGCCUCAUAAAUUUAAGUGGGGAGCCCUCCCUGGAAUCAUUUGUAUAAAAGAGGACAGUUUGUGGAAUAUACCUGCAAAAUCAUCUAGCUCUUCACAGUCUGUCUU